rnacentral:snRNA from 1 species
GGGUCUGGCCUCCGUAAC